ensembl:lincRNA Gm32780 predicted gene, 32780
GGAGUCCAGACAGAAUCCUAACAAGAAGUGCUGAAUGCAGGAUCUUACAUACAGCAGGAGAUCAACAAGAAGGAUGUGCGAGCCACCAGCAGUUUAACCAAUUCUGAGAUGCAAGAAGUGUAUACGAUUGGAAAGUUGUCUCAGCCCCUACAGAGCUAAGAGAGCAAUCAUGCUUUCCUGAUAGCAUCAAGAUAAUUGUCAACCACUCCAGUGACCUCAACAAUGCCAGCAGAAGUCUACAGACGCUUUCUUUCUGAUGAUUAAAAAAAUAAAAGGAGACGAUCUACAGGAAGCGUACGAUGCUCUGAGCAGCUGAUCCAAGACAGCAUGGUUUCUCCUGAGCAUGAAUCAAAAGUGGAUGAGAGACAUUUCCUCAUAGAAAAUUCUCAGGCUGCUACAAAGACAGUAGGGAAUGGAGGAUACGGUUGAAAGCCAACAAUUGUCCACGAGGUCAUGUGUUCAAGCACAGAGGCACCAUGAGCACGUUGGAGAUCUGGCUUCAAGCAAGAAACUCAAUAAUAAUUUGUAAAAUGCUGCAUU